rnacentral:lncRNA from 1 species
GGUUCAAAGACAGACUGCAAGCCAGUCUCUUUCAGGAUGAAAGGAGAGGAAGUCCUGCUUCUAUAAUCCCCAGCUGAAGAGAGUCUCCCACCAGGACAGAGUGUUUUAGGUUGUGCUAUCCCAGAGGUGAACCAUGGUCUAAGUAACUGCGAGGAGAUACCAUGAACCCCUGAGUACAUGAUGAAGAAGCAAGAAGAGAAAGAAGCCAAUACAAGAAGCAUUAGUGAUCAGGCUACCUCUGGGCACAGUAUUUAGUAAGCUACUGCUACCUGCCUGGUCUGCUGUGUUUCCCAGUGGCCUUAGGUGACCCUUGUGAAAGGGUCAGCCCCCAGGGGGUCAUGUCCCACAAGGAAUCGAUGAGAAGAAAAGAUUGGCAGAGCUCAGUGGAUUUCUCCUCUGAUAUCUGGCUGUUUGCAUCUUUAUUAUCCACUGGAAUCCUCUGCAUCUUGGGCUGCUUUAAAGAUGUCACUGGUAUCUAAAGAAGAGGCCAAGGAAGCUGCUGAACGCCCUGCGGUGCACAGGGCAGCCCCACCACAAGGUUGCUCAACUUAAUGCCAGCUGCUUCAAGGUUGAGAAAUUCAGCUUCGUUCUUCACCCAGAACUCAUCUGAGCUGUGACUCUCCUUACGUCAUAGAUGAUAAUUCCAGAAGCACGUAUAUGUUGAUAUUUCACAUUUAAAAAUGCAAACAUGAACCAGUAAGAGACAUUUCCCAUCUCUGUGUAGCAUCUCUGUACAUCAUCAGUGAGUCAUGGGUUAUAAGAGGCAUGCCUUUGGCUGUUAGGAUCCCUUCUGCUCAAUUCAUUUCCUGUCCACCAUGAGAUAAGUAGCUCCUGUCACAUGCUCUGCCUGCUGUGACACUCUGCUGUACUGUUUACCCAGAAUCAAUGAAGCAGGACUACAGACCGAUUUCUCUGAUGCUGUGAGCCAAAAUAAACCAU